rnacentral:rRNA from 1 species
GUGGGGAAUUUUGGACAAUGGGCGCAAGCCUGAUCCAGCAAUGCCGCGUGCAGGAAGAAGGCCUUCGGGUUGUAAACUGCUUUUGUACGGAACGAAACGGUCCGGGUUAAUACCCUGGGCUAAUGACGGUACCGUAAGAAUAAGCACCGGCUAACUACGUGCCAGCAGCCGCGGUAAUACGUAGGGUGCAAGCGUUAAUCGGAAUUACUGGGCGUAAAGCGUGCGCAGGCGGUUUUGUAAUACAGGCGUGAAAUCCCCGGGCUCAACCUGGGAAUUGCGCUUGUGACUGCAAGGCUGGAGUGCGGCAGAGGGGGAUGGAAUUCCGCGUGUAGCAGUGAAAUGCGUAGAUAUGCGGAGGAACACCAAUGGCGAAGGCAAUCCCCUGGGCCUGUACUGACGCUCAUGCACGAAAGCGUGGGGAGCAAACAGGAUUAGAUACCCUAGUAGUCC